AUUGAACGCUGGCGGCAGGCCUAACACAUGCGAGUCGAACGGUAACAGGAAGCAGCUUGCUGCUUUGCUGACGAGUGGCGGACGGGUGAGCAAUGUCUGGGAAACUGCCUGAUGGAGGGGGAUAACUACUGGAAACGGUAGCUAAUACCGCAUAACGUCGCAAGACCAAAGAGGGGGACCUUCGGGCCUCUUGCCAUCGGAUGUGCCCAGAUGGGAUUAGCUAGUAGGUGGGGGAACGGCUCACCAAGGCGACGAUCCCUAGCCGGCAUGAGAGGAUGACGGGCCACACGGGAACUGAGCCACGGUCCAGACUACUACGGGAGGCAGCAGUAGGGAAUCUUACGCAAUGGGCGAAAGCUUGACGGAGCAACGCCGCGUGAGUGAUGAAGGUCUUCGGAUCGUAAAACUCUGUUAUGAGGGAAGAACAAAUGUGUAAGUAACUAUGCGCGCCUUGACGGUACCUAAUCAGAAAGCCACGGCUAACUACGUG
rnacentral:rRNA from 1 species